AAGAACGGCUUCUGGCCACGCAAUAGCUCCUUGUCCUCGUCCAAAUCGAUUUGAUAAGGUUGAGAGAAACCAGGCGUGAUUAUAUGCUUGUGCUAGAAAUCAAAUUGGAGAUGGGCAGCAGCUACUUUAAUCCAACCUGGAGAAGGAGCCUUGAUGUCCGACUUCAUACAAAUAGGGAACUGAUCAUCUUGAUUCUAUAGUGUUCAACAGAGACUCGAACUGGGUUCAAAGCUUGUUCCGGCGAUUGGCCGAUCUUGAUUUGCAUGCAAAAGUAAAACUGGGGUGACUUCUCAAUCUGGUCUUGACCAUUUCUCCACAGUCAAUCUUUCAGAAAGACUUAGUUGACUGCCAAGCCCUGCUGCCAAUUUUCAUAGAGGUUACAAAAACAAAUUAUUAAGGGUGAGGCUCUGUAUUUCUCUGCUUGGCGUGUUGGAUUGGUAGCUUAGGAUUUGUAUUUCUUUUUGGAAGUGGUGGUGGAAAAGUUUUGAUACGGUGGAAGAAGAAAAGCAAGGUAGCAGGGGAAGCUUUUUAUGUGAUGGGUUUUGCUGCGUUUGGAGGAAGAGAAUGUACUGCAUAGGUUGUGAUAUCGGAACUCGGCCGUUCAUGAACGACUCUAUGUUCCAAUAUUUAAAACCCCAGCAGCCAUGUUGCAUUAAGACGUCGGCCGUUCAUGAACGACCAUGUUAGUCUUAAUUCAAGAGGAGAUUGCUCAGCCGUUCUUGAACGACCAUGGUUGUCUCAAAAGGGUAUUGGUUGUUCAUGAACAGCCCCCUUUUGCUUGAAGAAAACCUGUUAAUUCCCUGCCGAAGCAAGCAAGAGCAGCAUGAUGCAGUGUAUACCUAAACUUCUCCCUUCGAGCUGCUUUGAUUUCGCUCUCUGUUUUGGCAGAGUCUUGGCCUCUUGUUUUCUGAAUAUUUUUCUCCUCUCCCUCUUUGUGUGUUUCUCUUCAGCGUGGCCACCUUUAUAUAAUAGUGGUUGGAUAGCUGAUGCCUUGUAUUUGAAUUUGAAUAACAGCUAUAUCUUUAUCACUUGUUAUUUUUGAAUGUUUGAAUUGGUUGAGAUGUUAAUCAACACUUGAAUAGUCAAAGGCUCAAAGCUAGCAGAACUUAUCCUUGACGUUAUUCAAAGCCAAAAGACUUUGAAAAAUAUUUGAAUAGCCC